AGCAGUCGCCACGGGAAUACGUAGGUGGCAAGCGUUGUCCGGAAUUAUUGGGCGUAAAGCGCGCGCAGGCGGAUAGGUCAGUCUGUCUUAAAAGUUCGGGGCUUAACCCCGUGAUGGGAUGGAAACUGCCAAUCUAGAGUAUCGGAGAGGAAAGUGGAAUUCCUGGUGUAGCGGUGAAAUGCGUAGAUAUUAGGAAGAACACCAGUGGCGAAGGCGACUUUCUGGACGAAAACUGACGCUGAGGCGCGAAAGCCAGGGGAGCGAACGGGAUUAGAUACCCGCGUAGUCCCUGUCUCUUAUACA
rnacentral:rRNA from 1 species